rnacentral:misc_RNA from 1 species
GAUGAAGAACGUAGCGAAAUGCGAUACGUAGUGUGAAUUGCAGAAUUCAGUGAAUCAUCGAAUCUUUGAACGCACAUUGCGCCCUUUGGUAUUCCAAAGGGCAUGCCUGUUCGAGCGUCAUUUGUACCCUCAAGCUUUGCUUGGUGUUGGGCGUUUUUGUCUUUGGCCCGCCAAAGACUCGCCUUAAAAUGAUUGGCAGCCGGCCUACUGGUUUCGCAGCGCAGCACAUUUUUGCGCUUGCAAUCAGCAAAAGAGGACGGCAAUCCAUCAAGACUCCUUCUCACGUUUGACCUCGGAUCAGGUAGGGAUACCCGCUGAACUUAAGCAUAUCAAUAAGCGGAGGA